AUGGCGGUAAACAGAGAUGGGAUAGGGAAGCACACAGGGAUUGGGCAGUACACAGGUAUGAGAGAUUGUGCAGUACACAGGGAUGAGAGAUUGGGCAGUACACAGGGAUGAGAGAUUGGGCAGUACACAGGUAUGAGAGAUUGGGCAGUACAUAGGGAUGAGAGAUUGGGCAGUACACAGGUAUGAGAGAUUGGGCAGUACAUAGGGAUGAGAGAUUGGGCAGUACACAGGUAUGAGAGAUUGGGCAGUACAUAGGGAUGAGAGAUUGGGCAGUACACAGGUAUGAGAGAUUGGGCAGUACACUGGUAUGAGAGAUUGGGCAUUACAUAGGGAUGAGAGAUUGUGCAGUACAUAGGGAUGAGAGAUUGGGCAGUACACAGGUAUGAGAGAUUGGGCAGUACACAGGUAUGAGAGGUUGGGCAGUACACAGGUAUGAGAGAUUGGGCAGUACACAGUGAUAGGGCGUUAAACAAUGGUUAAGUCGAGCACAGAAUUAAAUAAGAGUAAUGAG